GAAAUAUGUGGAAAGAAACCUGGUACUGUAAUUUAUUUACGAUGGUUACACUUAUAACAAAGAUUCUCGUAAUAUAAAUAUUCUACGAUGUAAUAUACAUUGAUCAACACAAUGUUCUGGCAUUCUUAAAAUUGAUGGAAAAAUAUAUUUAGUCCAAAAGCAUAAUCAUAUUAAGGUACAAUGGAAAGCAAGGCAGUUUAUCAUGAAACAAGAAAUGUUGCAACUUUGUUGAAAUAUAUUUUUAUCUUUGAAGGCAAUAUUUGAUUCUGUCUACAGAAAAUAAUCUAGGUAAAUUGAUAAUUGAUGAAGAACUAAAGCUAAAAUGUUUGAAAACAAUCGAAAUAAAUGGGCAUCGUAAGUUUUGAAAGCAAAAGUUGAGAUAAUAAGAUAAUGGAAAUUCAAAGACAUUUUGUAACAGACUACAUCUUAACAAUUUCUUACAUCUCUUCAGCGACAGAUAUGAAAAUAUUUGGAAGAAUGAACUACAUUGGAUAG